UACGGGGGGGGGCAAGCGUUGUUCGGAAUUACUGGGCGUAAAGGGCUCGUAGGCGGCCAACUAAGUCAUACGUGAAAUCCCUCGGCUUAACCGGGGAACUGCGUCUGAUACUGGAUGGCUUGAGUUCGGGAGAGGGAUGCGGAAUUCCAGGUGUAGCGGUGAAAUGCGUAGAUAUCUGGAGGAACACCGGUGGCGAAGGCGGCAUCCUGGACCGAUACUGACGCUGAGGAGCGAAAGCCAGGGGAGCAAACAGG
rnacentral:rRNA from 1 species